GGGGGCUGAAGGCGGGGGCGGUGGGGGGAGCUCUGAAUGGAAGAAGGUGCUGACAUGCCACCUGGAGGAGGGGUGGGAAUGGAGAGGGGGCUGAAGGCGGGGGCGGUGGGGGGAGCUCUGGUCAGGGAUCUCGGUUUCCAGCGUGAGGGCCAGGGUCUCCCGUGUGGGCUCUGGGCAUGGUGAGGAAGCGCACCUUGUCGUCCAAGCGGGAUCCGAGUGCAGCAGUGUCAGCCUCACCGGGGAGUGACCUCAAAAAGCAGACUGUCACCUCCCUAGUCCCCCAAGACCUCUUCUCCUGAGCCUCCAAUGGAGGAAGCGCCCCAGGGAAUUAGGUGCAAGGGCCUGAGAAGGACGCACCAAGUAGAGGCUGCGGAGCAGCCUGGCAGGAGGGAAGGAAGGGCAGGUGGGUGUGGGGGUGCCAGGUGGAAGGCGUAGAGGGCAGGAUGUCCUUGGACGUCGCAGAGCCCAAGGAGGUGAGGACAGGGCUGAGGGCGGGGACCUGUAACCCUAGAUGACCGAGGCAGACUUUGGGGGCGGGGUGCCUCUCGAAGGCUCAGAGCUCUUUGCCAGGUCGGACGUCUUUCACCCCUCAGAGGAACAGCACAGUCUAAGGAGCUGUUUCAAUUGUUCAGUCCCCGUGCCUGUUGAUUACUUGGUUUUGCCACAAGGCUCGGUUGGGUGUUGGCAUUCCAAACUUCUGCCUUCAAAGGAACAGGCCCAGAUCAGUCGGGGUCGGAGGACUUUUCGCCAGCGGGGGCUCGCAGCGCAGCCACCUGAGAAGACGUGGACAUUUGAAGAAGGGCUGGAUCUGGGCCUCCGGGGUGUCAGUGACCAAGCAGAUGACAUCAGAAAGCCUCUGGAAGGUUUCCUGUGCCCUCUCAUUUCCGGCUUUCUCUUCCCGGCUACCAUUUGUUCUCUGGUCCAAUUCCUACCCCACUCCUCGGGUCAGAUACUGCCCCUCAGACCACCCACCAUGAGACUCAGCCUCCCUGGAGAGUGGCCUACUGAGGCAGCAGGUUCUCCCAGGCCCUCAGGACUCUGAGCUGCACUUGUAGCCUCUGGGCCUCCCCUCCUCCCUUCCCUGAACCACAUCCAGACUCAAGCCCCUGGGCAGGCCGCCCUAGGCCCCAGAGAGGUCUCCACCCGACGCCCGACCAGGACUCUGUUCCACUGACCCACCCUCCUGGAGGGCCCAGGGCAGAGACCCUGCCCCUGAGCCCACACAGACCUCAGCACACAAGGAGACCAGACACUGCAUUCCAUUUAAGAACAGUCUAUUUGGCUCACUUUCAAAUCGAUCUUCUUCAAACAGCAGAAGCGAAAAAAAAACGAUCAAAGCAGAUCGUCGACUUAAAAAAAAACAAGAAUAACUUUUGGCAGAUAAAAAGUCUACUUCUUGCAGUCAUAUUUCCAAUAACAGUAAUAUUAUAUUACAUUAUAUUAUAUAUAUUACUUGAUAUAUAUGUAUAUAUGAUACAUAUUACAUUAUGCAUAUACACCGACAAGGUGUACAGAUCCUCUGGAGAGGAGACAAUCAUUUGAUGAGAGGUGGUCCAGGAGGCGAAACUUUGUUGGCAUGCGGAAGACAAACAAUGAAAUAGACAACAAAUUAUAAUAAGAAAUACAAGCCAGAUGAUGAACCCAAUGAAUAAGGUUUUGAUAGUAGUCCAGAAACCUGGUCCUGACCGAG
ensembl:lncRNA